rnacentral:tRNA from 1 species
CAAAGAAUAGUUUAAAAAAAAUAAUAAUUUUGGAGAUUAUUGAUAAGGAAAAAUCUUUUUCUUUGA